GGCCCAGUAGUGUAUUGGUAACACAUCCUCCCUCUGUCAACACAUCUCUUUGACAAAGUCUGAGGAAGCACCCUGUUUGAUUCGGGGCUGGGCCA